AUACGAAGGUCCCGAGCGCUAUUCGGAAUCACUGGGCGUAAAGGGAGCGUAGGCGGCGCGGUAAGUCAGAUGUGAAAGCCCAAGGCUCAACCUUGGAACUGCAUUCGAUACUGCCGUGCUAGAGUCAUGGAGAGGUAACUGGAAUUCUUGGUGUAGCAGUGAAAUGCGUAGAUAUCAAGAGGAAGACCAAUGGCGAAAGCAGGUUACUGGACAUGUACUGACGCUGAGGCUCGAAGGCUAGGGUAGCGAAAGGGAUUAGAAACCCUAGUAGUCC
rnacentral:rRNA from 1 species